GACGUAGGGCGCGAGCGUUGUCCGGAUUUAUUGGGCGUAAAGAGCUCGUAGGCGGUUUGUCGCGUCUGCCGUGAAAGUCCGGGGCUCAACUCCGGGAUCUGCGGUGGGUACGGGCAGACUAGAGUGAUGUAGGGGAGACUGGAAUUCCUGGUGUAGCGGUGAAAUGCGCAGAUAUCAGGAGGAACACCGAUGGGCGAAGGCAGGUCUCUGGGCAUUAACUGACGCUGAGGAGCGAAAGCAUGGGGAGCGAACAGG
rnacentral:rRNA from 1 species